rnacentral:tRNA from 1 species
GCCCCUGUAGCUCAACGGGAGAGCACCUGCGUUACAAGCAGGUCGGUGGGAGUUCAAAUCUCUCCGGGGGUA